UACAGAGGUCCCGAGCGUUGUUCGGAUUCACUGGGCGUAAAGGGUGCGUAGGUGGUGGCGUAAGUCGGAUGUGAAAUCUCGGAGCUCAACUCCGAAACGGCAUUGGAAACUGCGCUGCUUGAGGGUUGGAGGGGGGACUGGAAUACUUGGUGUAGCAGUGAAAUGCGUAGAUAUCAAGUGGAACACCAGUGGCGAAGGCGAGUCCCUGGACAACACCUGACACUGAGGCACGAAAGCUAGGGGAGCAAAC
rnacentral:rRNA from 1 species